rnacentral:rRNA from 1 species
UGGGGAAUAUUGCACAAUGGGGGAAACCCUGAUGCAGCGACGCCGCGUGAACGAAGAAGGUAUUCGUAUCGUAAAGUUCUGUCCUAUGGGAAGAUAAUGACAGUACCAUAGAAGAAAGCUCCGGCUAAAUACGUGCCAGCAGCCGCGGUAAUACGUAUGGAGCGAGCGUUGUCCGGAAUUAUUGGGCGUAAAGGGUACGCAGGCGGUUUAAUAAGUCGAAUGUUAAAGAUCGGGGCUCAACCCCGUAAAGCAUUGGAAACUGAUAAACUUGAGUAGUGGAGAGGAAAGUGGAAUUCCUAGUGUAGUAGUGAAAUACGUAGAGAUUAGGAGGAAUACCAGUAGCGAAGGCGACUUUCUGGACACAAACUGACGCUGAGGUACGAAAGCGUGGGGAGCAAACAGG